GAUGAACGCUGGCGGCGUGCCUAACACAUGCAAGUCGAACGAGAACCCAUUCUUCGGAUUGGGGGACAGUGGCGAACGGGUGAGUAACACGUUGGUGACCUGCCCCGAAGCGGGGGACAACCACGGGAAACUGUGGCUAGUACCGCAUAUGCUUCAGAGGGUUAGAGGCCUCUGAAGUAAAGCUCCGGCGCUUCGGGAGGGGCCUGCGGCCUAUCAGCUAGUUGGUGGGGUAAUGGCCUACCAAGGCUAAGACGGGUAGGGGGCGUGAGAGCGUGACCCCCCACAAUGGAACUGAGACACGGUCCAUACUCCUACGGGAGGCAGCAGUGAGGAAUAUUGCCCAAUGGGCGAAAGCCUGAGGCAGCAACGCCGCGUGGGUGACGAAGGCCUUCGGGUUGUAAAACCCUUUUCUGGGGGACGAGAAAGGACGGUACCUCAGGAAUAAGUCCCGGCUAACUACGUGCCAGCAGCCGCGGUAAAACGUAGGGGGCAAGCGUUAUCCGGAUUUAUUGGGCGUAAAGCGCGUGUAGGCGGUCUGGUAGGUUGGACGUGAAAGCUCUCGGCUCAACUGGGAGACGUCGUUCAAUACCGCCAGACUCGAGGGCGGAAGAGGGGAGUGGAAUUCCCGGUGUAGUGGUGGAAUGCGUAGAUAUCGGGAGGAACACCAGUGGCGAAGGCGGCUCCCUGGUCCGCACCUGACGCUAAGACGCGAAAGCGUGGGGAGCGAACGGGAUUAGAUACCCCGGUAGUCCACGCUGUAAACGAUGGAUGCUAGGUGUAGGUGGUAUUGACCCCAUCUGUGCCGUAGCUAACGCGUUAAGCAUCCCGCCUGGGGACUACGACCGCAAGGUUA
rnacentral:rRNA from 1 species